rnacentral:lncRNA from 1 species
GUUGGGUAGUUGAAAUAUAACAACGAUUUUACAAGGAAUCUUUUACAUGGAUUUUACAUGGUUUUAACAUGAUAUUUAAAAUGACUUUACGACGAAAUUAGGUAAAUUAAAGCACAUUGAAUACACGUUUUCACCUAAAUAUAACGGUAACAUGUUUCGUUGUAAUGUCGAUAUAACGGUUACGACGUAUUUCUCAUUCCACGUACUUUCGUCUUAAACGUACAUUGAUUUUACGACAAAAUUUGGUCUCCUCGUAACUGCGUUGUAAACACCAUGUAAAUUUACGAGGAAAGA